rnacentral:rRNA from 1 species
GAUGAACGCUGGCGGCGUGCCUAAUACAUGCAAGUCGAGCGAACAGACGAGGAGCUUGCUCCUCUGACGUUAGCGCCUGACUGUUUAGUAACACGUUCAUAACCUCCCUAUAAGACUGGGAUUACUUCGGGAUACUUCAGCUAAUACCGGGUAAUAUAUUCAACCGCAUGGUUCACUAAUGAAAGACUAUUUUGCUGUCACUUAUAUCUGCAUCCCCACCACAUUAGCUAGUUGGUAAGGUAACGGCUUACGAAGGCAGCGAUGCGUAGCCGACCUGAGAGGGAGAACGGCCACACUGGAACAGAGACAGGGUAGAGACUCCGACGGGAGGCAGCAGUAGGGAAUCUUACGCGAUGGGCGAAAGGGUGACAGAGGAAAGCCGCGUGAGUGAUGAAGGUGUUAGGAUCGUAAAACGCUGUUAGUAGGGAAGAACAAAUGUGUAAGUAACGAUGAACGUCAUGACGGUACCUAAUGAGAAAGCCACGGCUAACUACGUG